rnacentral:rRNA from 1 species
UACGUAGGGGGCAAGCGUUGUCCGGAAUCAUUGGGCGUAAAGCGCGUGUAGGCGGCCCGAUAAGUCCGCUGUGAAAGUCCAGGGCUCAACCCUGGGAUGCCGGUGGAUACUGUCGGGCUCGAGUCCGGAAGAGGAGUGUGGAAUUCCCGGUGUAGCGGUGAAAUGCGCAGAUAUCGGGAGGAACACCGGUGGCGAAGGCGGUUCUCUGGGCCUGACCUGACGCUGAGGAGCGAAAGCGUGGGGAGCGAACAGG